UUAUAUGAAUAAGGAUCGGCUAACUCCGUGCCAGCAGCCGCGGUAAUACGGAGGAUCCGAGCGUUAUCCGGAUUUAUUGGGUUUAAAGGGAGCGUAGGUGGACUGGUAAGUCAGUUGUGAAAGUUUGCGGCUCAACCGUAAAAUUGCAGUUGAUACUGUCAGUCUUGAGUACAGUAGAGGUGGGCGGAAUUCGUGGUGUAGCGGUGAAAUGCUUAGAUAUCACGAAGAACUCCGAUUGCGAAGGCAGCUCACUGGACUGCAACUGACACUGAUGCUCGAAAGUGUGGGUAUCAAACAGGAUUAGAUACCCUGGUAGUCCACACAGUAAACGAUGAAUACUCGCUGUUUGCGAUAUACAGUAAGCGGCCAAGCGAAAGCAUUAAGUAUUCCACCUGGGGAGUACGCCGGCAACGGUGAAACUCAAAGGAAUUGACGGGGGCCCGCACAAGCGGAGGAACAUGUGGUUUAAUUCGAUGAUACGCGAGGAACCUUACCCGGGCUUAAAUUGCAGUGGAAUGAUGUGGAAACAUGUCAGUGAGCAAUCACCGCUGUGAAGGUGCUGCAUGGUUGUCGUCAGCUCGUGCCGUGAGGUGUCGGCUUAAGUGCCAUAACGAGCGCAACCCUUAUCUUUAGUUACUAACAGGUUAUGCUGAGGACUCUAGAGAGACUGCCGUCGUAAGAUGUGAGGAAGGUGGGGAUGACGUCAAAUCAGCACGGCCCUUACGUCCGGGGCUACACACGUGUUACAAUGGGGGGUACAGAAGGCAGCUAGCGGGUGACCGUAUGCUAAUCCCAAAAGCCUCUCUCAGUUCGGAUCGAAGUCUGCAACCCGACUUCGUGAAGCUGGAUUCGCUAGUAAUCGCGCAUCAGCCACGGCGCGGUGAAUACGUUCCCGGGCCUUGUACACACCGCCCGUCAAGCCAUGGGAGCCGGGGGUACCUGAAGUACGUAACCGCAAGGAUCGUCCUAGGGUAAAACUGGUGACUGGGGCUAAGUCGUAACAAGGUAGCCGUACCGGAAGGUGCGGCUGGAACACCUCCUUU
rnacentral:rRNA from 1 species